AAUCAAGUUAGUAGCGGACCGAUUCCCCCAUGGAUGCCCCCAACGUUUUGGGGCUCGAUUGGGUGCGGAUGGACAGCAGUGGACAGAUGAGCCAUAGAUGAACAGACGAAGACCACUGAUAUGGAAUGUAGGCCAGCGCCACCGAUGCGGUAGGGAUGGACAGAAGCCCUAAUGACUGAUGCUCCGCGUCGGCUGCGUCCCGACGUCCCCCCGCCCUG
rnacentral:sRNA from 1 species